UGGUGGAGAAGUUACAACAGGAGGUGGGGAUGAAACUGUGGGGGGUGGUGAAGCAGUUGGUGGUGGCUGAGCCGGUGGUGUUUGGUUGUUAACUGGUGGAGGAGAACCAGUGGGUGUAGGUGGAGCUUGGGUAGCUGGUGUUGGAGGCGCUUGGGUAGUGGGUGUAGGUGGUGCUUGGUUAGUGGGUGUUGGAGGAGCCUGGUUAGUGGGUGUUGGUGGAGUCUGUGUAGGUGGUGCUUGAUUAGUAGGGGGUGCCUGUGUUGGUGGUGCCUGUGUAGGUGGUGCUUGGGUAGGGGGUGCCUGUGUUGGUGGUGCCUGCGUAGGUGGUGCUUGGUUAGUAGGGGGUGUCUGUGUUGGUGGUGCCUGUGUAGGUGGUGCUUGGGUAGGGGGUGUUGGAGGUGCUUGACCUCCAACCCCAGCGACGAUAAUGCAGAUCAUAAACCCCAACAAAACAGCAUUAUUCCUACCCAUCAUUUUGACAAUGGAGAGGAGGAAAUUAAAGGAAUGUGAAAGAAGAUAUCUGGUGCUGCUUGGGAAAAGAGAGGUUUGGGAAGGGAAUAUAUAAGAGAUUUUCUAAAAGAAGUAUGGUAUAUAUUUGAAGGUUGGAAAAGAAAGAGUAGAAAGGUGGCAAAUCCAAUUUGUAGUAACAGUGUGAGUUGUGACUACCAAAUACUUAUGGUAUGUUAUUAUCUUACGUUGGUACUAAAGAGAUAUCAACUAGCUAGGUUAGGCCUUGUAUUGCACUUUACUUUGCCAAUGCCUCUUGUUGGGGCUGUCUUUUUUUUCUCUCUACGUUGUUGGCAUAUUAAUGUAGCUCGAGGAGAAUUCAUUUUUUAUUUUUUUACUCAAUUUCAGAAAAAAUAAAAGAAUAAAUAAAAAGAGGG
rnacentral:lncRNA from 1 species